rnacentral:lncRNA from 1 species
CAGGAGCUCAUUAAUGAAGGCAGUUGAAAAACUUAGGGAAAUGGACUUAUUAUAUAUAACUAGUUACCCCCACCACCACAGCCCUCUCCCUAUAAAAAGAGAUAGAUGAGAGUACCAAGCCCCAUGCAAUUAAUGCAGCGAGUUGCAGUUACAAGAACAAUUCACAAGAAACUGAGAAAGAAAGAAAGAUGGAUGGAAGAGAAAACUGAGGAGGAGAGGCAUUAAUGGAGAAGACAAGACCAAUAAAUUAUGAGAAAGAAGGGGGUAAGUGAAAUCAUUAAUUGCCCUUCUUCCCCUCUUUGCUUUUAUCACUGCAAUUGUCUCUGAGCUUUUGCUUCAUUGCUUUCACCCAUCUACUCUCUUAUCUUCUUCUGCAGCAGCAACCCACUUCCCCAGAUCGCAUUUAUUGCCUUCUUUUUACUGUUUUUACAUUUGUGCAAUACUACUGAACCCAUCUCCAUGCGAAUUACCCUCCAAUGUUUAAAUGUGUUACUGUUGAUAGAUUCAAGUUACCCAGUUAGUUUUGAUGAAACCCUUCCUCAAUUCCGAUUUCUAACUGGAAAUACCACAUUCUAACAGCAACCCACUUAGCAAGAUCGAAGUUUUCCUGACAAAAUUGGAAGAGCAAAGCAAAAAGCACUAAUCUUGCUAACAACCCAUCAAACUAAACAGAAGCUUCAAAGUCAUCGUCAAUUGGAGACCACUCUGUUUCCAAAAUCAUGGGGGGGUUUCUGAAGUCUUUUUUUUUCGCUUGGUUGCACUCAUCUUACAACUGUAGCUUCUUGUUGAACUCGGAUGGACUCGGUUGACUCAGCUGCUGCUUGGACGACUCCGCCGUCUCUCUGUCG